rnacentral:tRNA from 1 species
UCCUGUGUGGCUCAGUUGGUAGAGCAAAGUGCUUGCAAUGCUAAAGUUGUGUGUUCGAUUCCUACAGGGG